AUUGAACGCUGGCGGCAGGCCUAACACAUGCAAGUCGAGCGGAGCGGCGGAUGGGUGAGUAACGCCCAGGAAUCUGCCCGGUAGUGGGGGAUAACGUCAGGAAACGGGCGCUCAUACCGCAUACUAUCAGCAGAGCCUAGGUCGGAUUAGCUAGUUGGGGGGGUAAAGGCCUACAAAGGCGACGAUCCGUAACUGGUCUGAGAUGAUGAUCAGGCACACUGGAACUUAGACACGGUCCAGAAUACUACGGGCGGCAGCAGGGGGGAAUAUUGGAAUAUGGGCGAAAGCCUGAUCCAGCCAUGCCGCGUGGAUGAAGAAGGUCUUCGGAUUGUAAAGCACUUUAAGUGGGGAGGCGUUUCCAACAGAAUCAGGACCGGCUAACUUCGUGCCAGCAGCCGCGGUAAUUC
rnacentral:rRNA from 1 species